UUCAUCUACCAAUCAGAUGCAGCCAUUAAUUUCUUUUCCAUUUAAUUUCCACAUGCACGAUUGCGAUCGACCAUUCUGGUGGGCCCCUAGGUCUUUUUUUCCUCUUUUAAUUUCUCUCUCUCUUAUCUCAAGCAAUCUGCCUCGGUCCAACACACCGACCCUUUUUCCGCAAACUCGAGUGGAGAAAACAUCUCAUCUCUCUCCGACGGCGUCGCCGCCGUUGCUCUCUCUCCGCCCCGUCGAACGCCGAACAGAAGUGGCGCUCGAGAAGGUCUCGCCACUUCUACCACCUACGCUGACCCCAACCUCGCCUCCGUCCCGGGAUCAGACGCGGACGAUGUCAAGGUUUCUGAUGCAUUAAACAAUUUCUUUUAUGGAUUUGCUUCUUUCUUUGCUUCAAAUUUCAAUUUGUUUUACCAAUC
rnacentral:lncRNA from 1 species